GUGCGGGUCCUUUGGGCCCAACCUCCCAUCCGUGUCUAUUGUACCCUGUUGCUUCGGCGGGCCCGCCGCUUGUCGGCCGCCGGGGGGGCGCCUCUGCCCCCCGGGCCCGUGCCCGCCGGAGACCCCAACACGAACACUGUCUGAAAGCGUGCAGUCUGAGUUGAUUGAAUGCAAUCAGUUAAAACUUUCAACAAUGGAUCUCUUGGUUCCGGCAUCGAUGAAGAACGCAGCGAAAUGCGAUAACUAAUGUGAAUUGCAGAAUUCAGUGAAUCAUCGAGUCUUUGAACGCACAUUGCGCCCCCUGGUAUUCCGGGGGGCAUGCCUGUCCGAGCGUCAUUGCUGCCCUCAAGCCCGGCUUGUGUGUUGGGUCGCCGUCCCCCUCUCCGGGGGGACGGGCCCGAAAGGCAGCGGCGGCACCGCGUCCGAUCCUCGAGCGUAUGGGGCUUUGUCACAUGCUCUGUAGGAUUGGCCGGCGCCUGCCGACGUUUUCCAACCAUUCUUUCCAGGUUGACCUCGGAUCAGGUAGGGAUACCCGCUGAACUUAAGCAU
rnacentral:rRNA from 1 species